CAUUGUUCUCAGGGCGGGGUGCGAUUCCCCACCGGCGGUAAAGGCGGCGACGCCAAGCCCGCGAGCGCUUCUGGACGGAGGUCCAGGAGGUCAGCAGAUCCGGUGUAAUUCCGGAGCCGACGGUAUAGUCCGGAUGAAAGAGAACGGGA
rnacentral:ncRNA from 2 species